rnacentral:rRNA from 1 species
GAUGAACGCUGGCGGUAUGCCUAACACAUGCAAGUCGUACGAGAGUUUUUAACUCUAGUGGCGGACGGGUGAGUAACACGUGAGAAUUUGCCUUUAGGAGGGGGACAACAAUUGGAAACGAAUGCUAAUACCCCAUAUGCUUUCGAGUGAAAUGGAUUUUAUCCGCCUAGAGAGAAGCUCGCGGCUGAUUAGCUUGUUGGUAAGGUAAGAGCUUACCAAGGCGACGAUCAGUAUCUGGUUUGAGAGGACGAUCAGACACACUGGAACUGAGACACGGUCCAGACUCCUACGGGAGGCAGCAGUGGGAAUUUCCGCAAUGGGCGAAAGCCUGGCGGAGCAAUACCGCGUGAGGGAAGAAUGCCUAUGGGUUGUAAACCUCUUUUUUCAGGGUAGGAACAAAAUAGAACGUGUACCUGAAGAAUAAGCAUCGGCUAACUCCGUGCCAGCAGCCGCGGUAAUGUGACUACUG